GAUGAAGAACGUAGCGAAAUGCGAUAAGUAGUGUGAAUUGCAGAAUUCAGUGAAUCAUCGAAUCUUUGAACGCACAUUGCGCCCCUUGGUAUUCCAUGGGGCAUGCCUGUUCGAGCGUCAUUUGUACCUUCAAGCUCUGCUUGGUGUUGGGUGUUUGUCUCGCCUCUGCGUGUAGACUCGCCUCAAAACAAUUGGCAGCCGGCGUAUUGAUUUCGGAGCGCAGUACAUCUCGCGCUUUGCACUCAUAACGACGACGUCCAAAAGUACAUUUUUACACUCUUGACCUCGGAUCAGGUAGGGAUACCCGCUGAAUUAAGCAUAUCAAUAAGCGGAGGA
rnacentral:misc_RNA from 1 species